rnacentral:rRNA from 1 species
CGUAAACAAAGGGAAGCGAGACGGUGACGUUAAGCAAAUCCCAAAAAUAACGUCCCAGUUCGGAUUGUAGUCUGCAACUCGACUACAUGAAGCUGGAAUCGCUAGUAAUCGCGAAUCAGAAUGUCGCGGUGAAUACGUUCCCGGGUCUUGUACACACCGCCCGUCACACCAUGGGAGUCGGAAAUGCCCGAAGUCAGUGACCUAACCGAAAGGGAGGAGCUGCCGAAGGUGGAGCCGGUAACUGGGGUGAAGUCGUAACAAGGUACC